CGUGCCUAACACAUGCAAGUCGAACGGAGAAUUUUAUUUCGGUAGAAUUCUUAGUGGCGAACGGGUGAGUAACGCGUAGGCAACCUGCCCUUUAGACGGGGACAACAUUCCGAAAGGAGUGCUAAUACCGGAUGUGAUCAUCUUGCCGCAUGGCAGGAUGAAGAAAGAUGGCCUCUACAAGUAAGCUAUCGCUAAAGGAUGGGCCUGCGUCUGAUUAGCUAGUUGGUAGUGUAACGGACUACCAAGGCGAUGAUCAGUAGCCGGUCUGAGAGGAUGAACGGCCACAUUGGGACUGAGACACGGCCCAAACUCCUACGGGAGGCAGCAGUGGGGAAUCUUCCGCAAUGGACGAAAGUCUGACGGAGCAACGCCGCGUGAGUGAUGAAGGAUUUCGGUCUGUAAAGCUCUGUUGUUUAUGACGAACGUGCAGUGUGUGAACAAUGCAUUGCAAUGACGGUAGUAAACGAGGAAGCCACGGCUAACUACGUGCCAGCAGCCGCGGUAAUACGUAGGUGGCGAGCGUUGUCCGGAAUUAUUGGGCGUAAAGAGCAUGUAGGCGGCUUAAUAAGUCGAGCGUGAAAAUGCGGGGCUCAACCCCGUAUGGCGCUGGAAACUGUUAGGCUUGAGUGCAGGAGAGGAAAGGGGAAUUCCCAGUGUAGCGGUGAAAUGCGUAGAUAUUGGGAGGAACACCAGUGGCGAAGGCGCCUUUCUGGACUGUGUCUGACGCUGAGAUGCGAAAGCCAGGGUAGCGAACGGGAUUAGAUACCCCGGUAGUCCUGGCCGUAAACGAUGGGUACUAGGUGUAGGAGGUAUCGACCCCUUCUGUGCCGGAGUUAACGCAAUAAGUACCCCGCCUGGGGAGUACGGCCGCAAGGUUGAAACUCAA
rnacentral:rRNA from 1 species